rnacentral:rRNA from 1 species
CAACCUGGUUGAUCCUGCCAGUGGUAUAUGCUUGUCUCAAAGAUUAAGCCAUGCAAGUGCCGGUAUGAAUUACUUUAUACAAUGAAACUGCGAAUGGCUCGGUAAAACAGUAAUAAUUUCUUCAGGGGUAAAUACUACUCGGAUAACCGUAGUAAUUCUAGAGCUAAUACGUGCCAUUGAGCGAGGGUAAUUUAUUGCACUCGUGGUACUUAUUGGAUAACACAUCAAUUCAUUUGAUGAUUCACAAUACUUUUACUGAUCACACUUUUAUGUGUGUGACGCCCUGAUUAAAUUUCUGACCUAUCAACUUUGAUGGUACGGUAGUGGCGUACCAUUGUUUUGACGGGUAACGGACCGUGGGUGCGGGAUUCCGGAGAGAGAGCCUGAGAAACGGCUAUCACAUCCAAGGAAGGCAGCAGGCGCGUAAAUUACCCAAUCCGGACACCGGGAGGUAGUGACAAGAAAUAUCAAUAGGGGGCCCGAUGGGCUUUCUAAUUGGAAUGAGAACAAUGCAAACGGCUUAUCGAGGAGCCAGCAGAGGGCAAGUCUGGUGCCAGCAGCCGCGGUAAUUCCAGCUCUGUAAGCGUAUACCAAAGUUGUUGCAGUUAAAACGCUCGUAGUCGAAUUUUGGCGGGCGGCGUGGGAUAUCCGCAAGGAUGUUCUUGCGUUGGCUGCCUUGGUGUGUGUGGGCUUAGGGUUCCUUUACUGGAAAACUUUGUUUCUGCCACUGUUUACUGUGAAAAAAUUAGAGUGUUCAAAGCGGGCGAUUGCCAUGAAUACAUUAGCAUGGAAUAAUAGAAUAAGACCCGGUUUUAUUCUGUUGGUUUGUUAAACCUGGGUAAUGAUUAACAGGGACGGUCGGGGGCAUUUGUAUUUCGACGUUAGAGGUGAAAUUCUUGGAUCGUCGAAAGACAUACAGCUGCGAAAGCGUCUGCCAAGGACGUUUUCAUUGAUCAAGAACGAAAGUAAGGGGAUCGAAGACGAUCAGAUACCGUCGUAGUCUUUACUAUAAACGAUGAGGACUAGGGAUCGGGCGCAUCAAAAUUGAGCGCUCGGCACCUUCCGGGAAACCAAAGUAUUUGCUUUCUGGGGGGAGUAUGGUCGCAAGGCUGAAACUUAAAGGAAUUGACGGAAGGGCAUCACCGGGUGUGGAGCCUGCGGCUUAAUUUGACUCAACACGGGAAAACUUACCAGGUCAGGACAUUGGGAGGAUUAACAGACUGAGAGCUCUUUUUUGAUUCAAUGGAUGGUGGUGCAUGGCCGUUCUUAGUUGGUGGAGUGAUCUGUCUGGUUAAUUCCGUUAACGAGCGAGACCCGGGCGUGCUAGAUAGUUGUCUUGUGCAUUUAUUUUGUAUUUUGACAUUGACUACCUAGACGGACUGUGGGCGUCUAGCCCACGGAAGCUCCGGGCCAUAACAGGUCUGAGAUGCCCUUAGAUGUCCUGGGCCGCACGCGUGCUACACUGAGCGGGUCAACGGGUGAGGUAAUGUGAAAGCACUACCGAAUCUCUAAAUCCGCUCGUGAUGGGGAUAGAGGCUUGCAAUUGCCCCUCUUGAACGAGGAAUACCUUGUAGGCAUGGGUCAUCAUCCCGUGCCGAAUACGUCCCUGCCCUUUGUACACACCGCCCGUCGCUCCUACCGAUUGAAUGGUCCGGCGAGAACUUGGGAGGGAAAUCCGGAGAUGGUUUUAUACUUUCUUUGGUUGCCUGAACUUGGUCAAGCCUUAUCAUUUAGAGGAAGGAGAAGUCGUAACAAGGUUUCCGUAGGUGAACCUGCAGAAGGAUCAAGCU